AUUCUUUUGUAAUUUAACAUUUUUUUUUUAAAGAAUGAGGAUCCAUUUAAUUGCUAUAAAAGGACCAUCCAAUGGCAAUGAAGCACAGCAUUAUCAUUAUUCCCUCACUUUAACAUUGCAAACACACUCUCUCUCUCUCUCUCUCUUCCUCUGCCUCUAUAUAUAUUCCUGCUGUACACUCGUCCAAUGCAGGUACUAUGAAGUCUCUAAAGCACGAAGAUAAUGGGAAGAUACGCUUGGUUGUCGGUGACUUCGACUGUGAUUUCUUUGAUUAAACUAGUAACAAGUGGUCAGAAGUAUUUGAAAUGUACAAACAAGAAAGGACGCUACGCACGGCCAAAAUAACAGUGAAAAGGGAUAAAAAGGGGACAUGACAGAAUGAGGAGUAGCAAGUAAAUUAGUGUAAUCUUAGUUAAUAAAAAUCUCUUUACUCUUCACUCCCUACACUCACUUGAUGCAUUUAUGAUUUUUAUUUUCAAGAUGCUUUUCAAAAGAAUUGAAAUCUCACUCACCCUAUCUCUCCCCCCCCCUCCUCACACAGAGAUGAGAAUAUCAUGUAAAACAAGUGGAUGGUACAUUUAGCUCUGCAAUUUGCAUUAUACCAGAGGGUAAAAAUCAUAUAAGAAGAGUUUUGUUUUGGUUUGGUUUAUCUUCUUUUAGUCAUUGUUUAAUCAGCGUGCCUGAUGGGCACGGGAAAGGAAACAGAUUGUAUACAAAGUGUUUGAUGUUAUGUCUAAUAGAGCAUAAUGCACUUUCCAGAUUA